rnacentral:lncRNA from 1 species
AAGGGAUAGGUUCUCUUUCAGGCAAAACAGGGAAAUGAUCUUGAGAACUGACUAUUGAGAGCUUAUCUGCCAGAAUUGAUUAAAACUUUUCUUUUUCUUUGCAUUUAAAAAUAAAAAGAUCUUUUGAGAAAUCUUUGCCGCCCAUUGUUAGAAGAAUGAAACCUUACUCCAAAGCAUUUCCUUAUAAAUACUAGAGAGGGUGAACAGAAUAGGGGACUCGAUUUUUCAUCAAUCAAACAAACAACCAAAAAAUCAACCAAAAGCUCACUUAAACCACAAGAAAAAACAGUCUUAGAUCAGAAUUCCCAAAGUUCAGACUUAAAGAAAUAAGUCAUUCAAAACGAGAUCUCUCUCGUUACGAAUUUGGUUCAACAAAAGCCAAGACAAGCAGAGUUUGAGUUUUCUCAAGUAUGAAAACCUCAACAAAUUUCACAGUGCAGUUUUCAGCUUAUUAGGUUCUUAAGAACGACCACUUCUGUCCCUUCAAACAAAAAAGCUGUAGUUCUGCCAGCUCAAAAGCCUCCCAAAGCUUGGAGUAGAUUAAAGCUCUACCAAAAUUGAACUUUGGUAUCGACCUACAGCUGAAACUGAGCAGUUGAAGUUGUUAAAAGUCCAGUCUAGCUCAGACAUACCCA